GCAAACUUGGUCAUUUAGAGGAAGUAAAAGUCGUAACAAGGUUUCCGUAGGUGAACCUGCGGAAGGAUCAUUAUCGAUGGCCGCGCCGUGAACGCCCAGCGGGAUCGGCCGGCCACUGACCACACCCUUACUUUACGAGCACCUUUCCGUUCUCCUUCGGCGGGGCGACCCGCCGCUGGAACCUCAUCACGAACCUUUUUUGCAUCCAGCAUUACCCGUUCCGAUAAAUUUAAUCGUUACAACUUUCAACAAUGGAUCUCUUGGCUCUGGCAUCGAUGAAGAACGCAGC
rnacentral:misc_RNA from 1 species